rnacentral:tRNA from 1 species
GGCCCCAUCGUCUAAUGGUUAGGAUAGAUGGUUCUCAGCCAUCAGGUACGGGUUCAAAUCCCGUUGGGGCUA